rnacentral:rRNA from 1 species
UACGUAGGUGGCAAGCGUUGUCCGGAAUUACUGGGUGUAAAGGGCGUGUAGGCGGGUUAUUAAGUCAGAUGUGAAAUUCCAGGGCUCAACCCUGGCGCUGCAUCUGAAACUGAUGAUCUUGAGUACUGGAGAGGGAAGCGGAAUUCCUAGUGUAGCGGUGAAAUGCGUAGAUAUCUGGAGGAAUACCGGUGGCGAAGGCGGCAUCCUGGACCGACAUUGACGCUGAGGCGCGAAAGCCAGGGGAGCAAACGGG